UUGUGUGCCUAUGGUCCAGCCAGUUUCCCUGUGUUUGUUCCUUGUGUUUUGGACUGUUUUCUUGAACCUUGCCUGUUUUAUGGACUUUAUGGAUUUUCUGCUUGCUCCCUAACAGAUUUGUUUGCCUAAGUUUGGACUGACUUUCCUGGUUUUGAUCUCUGCAAGCCUGACCAACCAUUACGAACCGGUCAGCCAGGACCCAAUCUCACCGCCUCUAAAACUCACCUCAUGUUCUGUCUGAACACACAGUCAGAAAACAACAGAGGUUGUUCCUGUUGGGUCUCCCAAAGCAAACUGGUCUCAGGAGGAGCAACAAUAUGAGGGAUUUAAAGAUCUGUGGAUCAGCAUGUUUAAAAAGGAGUGACUUCACCUGGAUCAGGGAAACUGGGCCCCCUCUGGGAAUGCUGUUUACAGCUACACUGAAAAAUAAAUGAAUUUAUGUAAAAAUAACAGAACAGGAUAUGGUAAUGGCCUGAAUAUAGGACGUUCUUUUUUUCUGGAAAUUAUGUUACUAUAAUCAAGGACCUAAACAAUGACUUAUUAUUCACAACAUCAGAUAUUCUUUCUGAAUAAAAGGAGCGUCUCCUACAGAGAGUGCUGCAUCAUGGGUUGUUUGUAGCCUUAAUGUUGCUAGGCUAGUGAGUUCCUUCAAGUGUGUUUAUAGUGAGUCUGUUAGAGUUAGUUAGCCCUGUUCAGGACAGUCCCAGAAGGUCACAUAGCAAAGCUCAGUGAAGCUGCUGUGUGCUGCUCUUUAAGGAAGGUGGUGAACCAGAUGUACAUUUUUUUAUUUAGGCAAGUCAACUUUAUUUGUAUAGCACAUUUCACACACCAGGGAAAUUCAAUGUGCUUUACAGGGUACAAAAAUACAGCAAAGGUAAGAAGAUUUACAAUUUGAAAAAGUGUGAAAGUACAGGAUGUGAUACAAGAGAAAAUCUAAAGUAAACUAGUGUUUAAAUCAAGAAAAGAUAUAAGAGCACAGCAAAUACUCCCACAUUCAGAUACACAAUUACAUUAAAACAAAUCAAGUAAAGAAGAGAUUAUUUUUUUGGCAAUUCUGCUUUAUUUUAUAGUCACAGUAGAGAGACAGGAAAGGCAGGGAAGAGAGAGAGACAUGCAGCAAAGGGCUGGAUUUGAAGGUUACUGAGGAUGAGGAGCUCAGAAAGACUGAAACUAACUCAUUCAAAAUCAUUCAAACCACAUUCUGACGAGAGAGAGUCUGUGACUGAAGCUGCACUAAUGUGAUUAAUGGAAUUUAAUGGAAAUAUUUCAUGCUUUACUUUUGAAGCUCAGGAUCAAAGAACACACAAAAAUACUGCAUACAAAAGACCACACACACACAGCCAUAAAACUCUUCCUCUUCGCCUUUCAGGCUGAGUUUCUAUUCAGGAAAAACCUUGUCUUCCUCUGCAAUUAGACACUUCCUCAGCCAAUCAGAGCAGGACCUUGAGCACACGCCCAGACCCUGACCCCUGCCCUCUGUGAGGAAAGAUGGAUGGUCUGAACUGUCUGGAUGAGGAGGUGGAGAACAAAGCUAACACGCCAGCUUCUGGGUUUAUCUGUUGUUUUGUUCCAUAUUAAAAACACUGAGUUUAAAUGAGACUAACAGUCGAGGAGACGAUAAUUUAAAGUGCUCAGAUUGCAUUCCUGUUUGCUAAUGACAAUUAAAAUGUCAGCACUAAAUCAUUUCUUCCAAAAUAUUGUAUAUCCAUUUAAAAGGUGUUUUUGAAAUUACGCUUCUUCUUAUUCAAUGUUUUACAGUCACAUGACAUUUGUCCUUACAAACGUGUGUGU